rnacentral:rRNA from 1 species
AACGAACGCUGGCGGCAGGCCUAACACAUGCAAGUCGAGCGCGCCCUUCGGGGUGAGCGGCGGACGGGUGAGUAACGCGUGGGAACGUGCCCUUCUCUGCGGAAUAGCCUCGGGAAACUGAGAGUAAUACCGCAUACGCCCUUUGGGGGAAAGAUUUAUCGGAGAAGGAUCGGCCCGCGUUGGAUUAGGUAGUUGGUGGGGUAAUGGCCCACCAAGCCGACGAUCCAUAGCUGGUUUGAGAGGAUGAUCAGCCACACUGGGACUGAGACACGGCCCAGACUCCUACGGGGGGCAGCAGUGGGGAAUCUUAGCCAAUGGGGCAACCCUGAUCUAGCCAUGCCGCGUGAGUGAUGAAGGCCUUAGGGUUGUAAAGCUCUUUCAGCUGGGAAGAUAAUGACGGUACCAGCAGAAGAAGCCCCGGCUAACUCCGU